rnacentral:rRNA from 1 species
UACGAAGGGGGCUAGCGUUGUUCGGAAUCACUGGGCGUAAAGCGCACGUAGGCGGAUCUUUAAGUCAGGGGUGAAAUCCCGAGGCUCAACCUCGGAACUGCCUUUGAUACUGGGGAUCUCGAGUCCGGGAGAGGUGAGUGGAACUGCGAGUGUAGAGGUGAAAUUCGUAGAUAUUCGCAAGAACACCAGUGGCGAAGGCGGCCUCUGGACCGCAACUGACGCUGAGGCGCGAAAGCGUGGGGAGCAAACAGGGAUUAAGAAACCUAG